rnacentral:rRNA from 1 species
AGUGAACGCUGGCGGCGUGCUUAACACAUGCAAGUCGAACGAGAACGGAAUAUAGCUUGCUAUAUUUGUCAGCUAAGUGGCGCACGGGUGAGUAAUGUAUAGAUAACCUGCCCUUAAGAAAGGAAUAACAGUUGGAAACGACUGCUAAUGCCCUAUAUGCCUUUAAUACAUAAGUAUGCAAGGGAAACGCUUUAGUGUCUUAAGGAUGGGUCUGUAUGGUAUCAGCUUGUUGGUGAGGUAAUGGCUCACCAAGGCUAUGACGCCUAACUGGUUUGAGAGGAUGAUAAGGCACACUGGAACCGAGACACGGUCCAGACGCCUACGGGAGGCAGCAGUGGGGAAUAUUGCACAAUGGACGAAAGUCUGAUGCAGCAACGCCGCGUGGAGGAUGACACAUUUCGGUGCGUAAACUCCUUUUAUAUAGGAAGAUAAUGACGGUACUAUAUGAAUAAGCACCGGCUAACUCCGUGCCAGCAGCCGCCGUAA